rnacentral:pre_miRNA from 1 species
UCAUAUAAAGUCAACUCCAAACAUUCAAAACUCAUUGUUGAAUGGAAUUAGGUAUUUUGAGUGUUUGGAAUUGAACUUGUAUGC